CCUACGGGCGGCAGCAGUGGGGAAUAUUGGACAAUGGGCGAAAGCCUGAUCCAGCCAUGCCGCGUGUGUGAAGAAGGCCUUCGGGUUGUAAAGCACUUUCAGUGGGGAAGAAAGCCUUGGGGCUAAUACCCUCGAGGAAGGACAUCACCCACAGAAGAAGCACCGGCUAACUCCGUGCCAGCAGCCGCGGUAAUACGGAGGGUGCGAGCGUUAAUCGGAAUUACUGGGCGUAAAGCGCGCGUAGGCGGUCUGAUAAGCCGGUUGUGAAAGCCCCGGGCUCAACUUGGGAACGGCAUCCGGAACUGUCAGGCUAGAGUGCAGGAGAGGAAGGUAGAAUUCCCGGUGUAGCGGUGAAAUGCGUAGAGAUCGGGAGGAAUACCAGUGGCGAAGGCGGUCUUCUGGACUGACACUGACGCUGAGGUGCGAAAGCGUGGGUAGCAAACAGGAUUAGAUACCCUGGUAGUC
rnacentral:rRNA from 1 species